rnacentral:rRNA from 1 species
GACGAACGCUGGCGGCGUGCCUAAUACAUGCAAGUUGAGCGCUGAAGGUUGGUACUUGUACCAACUGGAUGAGCAGCGAACGGGUGAGUAACGCGUGGGGAAUCUGCCUUUGAGCGGGGGACAACAUUUGGAAACGAAUGCUAAUACCGCAUAAAAACUUUAAACACAAGUUUUAAGUUUGAAAGAUGCAAUUGCAUCACUCAAAGAUGAUCCCGCGUUGUAUUAGCUAGUUGGUGAGGUAAAGGCUCACCAAGGCGUUGAUCCUUAGCCGAGCUGAGAGGGUGAUCGCCAACACUGGAACUGGAACCGGCCCAAACUCCUUACGGGGGGAGCAGUUGGGGAACUUCGGCAAUGGACGAAAGUCUGGACGAGCCACGCCGGGUGGGUGAAGGAGGUUUUCGGAUCGUAAAACCCUGUUGGUAGAGAAGAACGUUGGUGAGAGUGGAAAGCUCAUCAAGUGACGGUAACUAACCAGAAAGGGACGGCUAACUACGUG